rnacentral:rRNA from 1 species
CGAGAAUAAUUCACAAUGGGGGAAACCCUGAUGGUGCAACGCCGCGUGGAGGAUGAAGAUUUUCGGAUCGUAAACUCCUGUCGAGCGGGAAGAAUAGUUUCCGGGCGAAUAUCCCGGGAACCUGACGGUACCGCUAAAGGAAGCCCCGGCUAACUCCGUGCCAGCAGCCGCGGUAAUCCGGGGGGGGCAAGCGUUGUUCGGAAUUACUGGGCGUAAAGGGCUCGUAGGCGGCCAACUAAGUCAGACGUGAAAUCCCCAGGCUUAACCUGGGAACUGCGUCUGAUACUGGAUGGCUUGAAUUCGGGAGAGGGAUGCAGAAUUCCAGGUGUAGCGGUGAAAUGCGUAGAUAUCUGGAGGAAUACCGGUGGCGAAGGCGGCAUCCUGGACCGACAUUGACGCUGAGGAGCGAAAGCUAGGGGAGCAAA